rnacentral:misc_RNA from 1 species
UACGGAGGGUGCAAGCGUUAAUCGGAAUUACUGGGCGUAAAGGGUGCGCAGGCGGCCCUGUAAGACCGGUGUGAAAUCCCCGGGCUCAACCUGGGAAUUGCGCUGGUGACUGCAGGGCUAGAGUACGGUAGAGGGGGGUGGAAUUCCUGGUGUAGCAGUGAAAUGCGUAGAGAUCAGGAGGAACACCGAUGGCGAAGGCAGCCCCCUGGGCCUGUACUGACGCUCAUGCACGAAAGCGUGGGGAGCAAACAGG